GGCAGUGCGGCUGCUAUACAUGCAGUCGAGCGGACAGAUGGGAGCUUGCUCCCUGAUGUUAGCGGCGGACGGGUGAGUAACACGUGGGUAACCUGCCUGUAAGACUGGGAUAACUCCGGGAAACCGGGGCUAAUACCGGAUGGUUGUCUGAACCGCAUGGUUCAGACAUAAAAGGUGGCUUCGGCUACCACUUACAGAUGGACCCGCGGCGCAUUAGCUAGUUGGUGAGGUAACGGCUCACCAAGGCGACGAUGCGUAGCCGACCUGAGAGGGUGAUCGGCCACACUGGGACUGAGACACGGCCCAGACUCCUACGGGAGGCAGCAGUAGGGAAUCUUCCGCAAUGGACGAAAGUCUGACGGAGCAACGCCGCGUGAGUGAUGAAGGUUUUCGGAUCGUAAAGCUCUGUUGUUAGGGAAGAACAAGUGCCGUUCAAAUAGGGCGGCACCUUGACGGUACCUAACCAGAAAGCCACGGCUAACUACGUGCCAGCAGCCGCGGUAAUACGUAGGUGGCAAGCGUUGUCCGGAAUUAUUGGGCGUAAAGGGCUCGCAGGCGGUUUCUUAAGUCUGAUGUGAAAGCCCCCGGCUCAACCGGGGAGGGUCAUUGGAAACUGGGGAACUUGAGUGCAGAAGAGGAGAGUGGAAUUCCACGUGUAGCGGUGAAAUGCGUAGAGAUGUGGAGGAACACCAGUGGCGAAGGCGACUCUCUGGUCUGUAACUGACGCUGAGGAGCGAAAGCGUGGGGAGCGAACAGGAUUAGAUACCCUGGUAGUCCACGCCGUAAACGAUGAGUGCUAAGUGUUAGGGGGUUUCCGCCCCUUAGUGCUGCAGCUAACGCAUUAAGCACUCCGCCUGGGGAGUACGGUCGCAAGACUGAAACUCAAAGGAAUUGACGGGGGCCCGCACAAGCGGUGGAGCAUGUGGUUUAAUUCGAAGCAACGCGAAGAACCUUACCAGGUCUUGACAUCCUCUGACAAUCCUAGAGAUAGGACGUCCCCUUCGGGGGCAGAAGUGA
rnacentral:rRNA from 1 species